UUCGCAAUGCCCGAAAGGGUGACGAAGCGACGCCGCGUGCGGGAAGAAGGCCUUCGGGUUGUAAACCGCUGUCGGGAGUUAAGAAAUGCAAGGGUGUUAACAGCAUCCUUGCUUGACUAAGGCUCCGGAGGAAGCCACGGCUAACUCUGUGCCAGCAGCCGCGGUAAUACAGAGGCGGCAAGCGUUGUUCGGAAUUAUUGGGCGUAAAGAGCACGUAGGCGGCCGUGUAAGUCGGUUGUGAAAGCCUUCCGCUCAACGGGAGAACGGCAUCCGAUACUGCAUGGCUUGAGCGCGGGAGGGGAGAGUGGAACUUCUGGUGGAGCGGUGAAAUGCGUAGAUAUCAGAAGGAACACCGGCGGCGAAGGCGACUCUCUGGCCCGUAACUGACGCUGAGUGUGCGAAAGCUAGGGGAGCAAACGGGAUCAGAUACCCCGGUAGUCCUAGCCAUAAAUGAUGGGCACUAAGUAGAGGGGUUUU
rnacentral:rRNA from 1 species